rnacentral:rRNA from 1 species
GUCCUUUAGAAAUUAAUUGAAGGUCUGACCUGCCCAGUGAUGAUUUUAACGGCCGCGGUAUACUGACCGUGCAAAGGUAGCAUAAUCAUUAGUCUUUUAAUAGAGGGCUGGUAUGAAAGGUUUGACGAGGAACUGACUGUCUCAUUUUAUAUGUUUUAAAAUUUAAUUUUUUAGUUAAAAAGCUAAAAUACUAUUGGAAGACGAGAAGACCCUAUAGAUCUUUAUAUAGAAGGGUAUGAAAAGGUAUAUAUUAUAUUUUUAUACAUUUCUAUAUUUUGUUGGGGUGACAAAAAUAAAUAACUAACUUUUUUAUUUAUUAACCAUUAAUUUAUGAAUAUUAGAUCCUCUAUUGGUGAUUAUUAGACUAAGUUACCUUAGGGAUAACAGCGUAAUCCUCCUCCAGAGUUCAUAUUUACAGGAUGGGCUUGCGACCUCGAUGUUGGAUUAAGAUAAUAAUUAGGUGUAGCCGCUUAAUUUAUGGGUCUGUUCGACCUUUAAAUUCUU